rnacentral:rRNA from 1 species
AAAAACAUUUUCUUCAGAAUAGAUUGAAGGUACGACCUGCUCAAUGAUAAUUAAAUGGCCGCAGUAUAAUGACUGUGCUAAGGUAGCAUAAUAAUUUGCCUCUUAAUUGGGGGCUGGAAUGAAAGGUUUUAUGGGAAAUAUCUGUUUUAAUUAAACGAAAUUGAAUUUAAGUUUUGUAUAAAAACUUGCAGAGAGUCUCAUGGGACGAGAAGACCCUGUGGAUUUUUACUUUUUAAAGAAUAAAUUUUAUGAAAGUUUAUUUUGUGGUAUGAGUUUGGUUGGGAUGACAGUGGAUUUAACUUCAUUGAUGUGAAAAUAUAAUGAUCCUUUUUGAGGAAUAAAGAACAAAUUACCCCAGGGAUAACAGCGUAAUGCUUUUGGACAGGACAUAUGGAUAAAAGUGUUUGCGACCUCGAUGUUGAAUUAAAAUUUCUUUGUUAAGUAUAAAUAAUGAAAGUAAGUCUGUUCGACUUUUAAAAUUUUACGUGAUC